rnacentral:tRNA from 1 species
CCUUCGGGCAGCGCGGGGGCGCUGGCCGUUUCCGCCGGUCCGCCUGCCAACCCGGGCCUCCUGCUCGUUCUUGUCGUACCCCUGGGGAC